rnacentral:rRNA from 1 species
AUACGUAGGUGGCAAGCGUUGCUCGGAAUGACUGGGCGUAAAGGGCGUGUAGGCGGUUUACACAGUCAGAUGUGAAGUCCCCGGGCUUAACCUGGGAGCUGCAUUUGAUACGUGUAGACUAGAGUGUGAGAGAGGGUUGUGGAAUUCCCAGUGUAGAGGUGAAAUUCGUAGAUAUUGGGAAGAACACCGGUGGCGAAGGCGGCAACCUGGCUCAUUACUGACGCUGAGGCGCGAAAGCGUGGGGAGC